UACGGAGGGGGCUAGCGUUAUUCAUCUUGACUGGGCGUAAAGGGUACGUAGGUUGUUUUUGCAGUUUUUUUUAAGUAAUCUAGAUAUAAUCUUGGAAGUUAAGAAAAAUACGUUGAAACUAGAGGUUAUUGGAGGUGAGUUAUAUUUUUAAUGUAGAGGUGAAAUUCAAUGAUAUUAAAAAGAUAUCCAAAAGGCGAAAGCUACUUGCUACUAUAAGCCUGACACUAAGGUACGAAAGCAUGGGGAGCAAAUAGG
rnacentral:rRNA from 1 species